rnacentral:lncRNA from 1 species
AUGUCCUUAAACCUCUUUGACUCUUCAAGCCCAUCAACAUCUUCGCCAUAAUACUUCUUCCCUGCAACCAUUCUCAUCAUUACAUUGAAGUUAAGGUCCAGCAACAUUGUCCUCAGCUCUAUCACGGCCUAACCAUCACCAUAAAUUUUGUGAAUUUUACGAAGUAAAUUCCUUACUUCUUCUCUUCGGAUGCUUGCGAACGUGUUGAGGCGGCUUGCUGAGAAGACUUCAAUAGCAGUAAGUCGGCGAAGGUUGCGCCAGUGAUCACCAUACGGAGCUGCGGCAAGGGUGGUAAAGUUGUAAUUCAGGACCUUGCCAUUUAGAAAGGGGGGGCGGUUGUCCAAGGUAAUAUCGUUCUUGGUGAAACGUUCUUCUACGGCAGCUGGUGAUGAUACGAUGAUCACAGUUCGGAACCCAAACUUAAGGGUGACAACGGGGCCAUUUUUUUGUGAGAUGUCGUGGAGAGUUCGGUGAAUGGCCUUGGGCUGUUUGAGGAGAGGAAGAUGGCCUAAAAUUAGGCGACCUGGUGGGCUUGGAGGGAGCUUCAUGCGGUAUUAAGCUCAUAUCUUUAAUUUUAGAAAUCCAUAAAAGCUUAUUUUUAUUUUGUUGGAAAGUUGAGAAAAAUUUCGAGAACAUUCAUUAAGACUAUCUGUUUAAAAUCUGAUGCUAAAAUGACAUUUUUUUUUUUCAGACAAGAAGAUAAUGGUUGUCAUUGAGUCAAGAGGUGGUCGCCCAUUCAAUAAUUAGUCAUCAAAUCAAUAGUUCUGAUUUUUAGCAUAUAAAAGGAGGUAUUUGCCAUACAUUUAGACAUCUUGGUGUUCAGAUCAAGAUCACUCACUCUCUCUCUCUUUGUAUUUUGUAAUCUUUAAUUUUUUAUUUUAUGUUAUAUUAAUCUCUUGUUUAUGCUAUUCAUUUCCUUUACUAUACUUAGUUAAUUUAUAUCAUGUUUAUGUUCUUAUAUUGUUUAUUUAUGUUUUUCUUCUUCAUGAUAUUUAGUUAAGUUAAUUUUAUCAAGGUGAAAAGGGUACCCUAAUGGUGUAAGAAUAAAUAUAAUAUAAACUCCACAUGGACUUUAAUGUUUGAUACUAACAUGUUUUGUAUUUGUUAUCUUACUCAUUCUUAAUACCUUGCUUGUUAAAUGGUUAAUCUAGAUUUGUGCUGUACAAUCCUUAGUACAACAAAUACUUGGCACUUUCAUAGCAUACUAAUGUAUGGUAUAACCGACACUUGUUGAUUUGUUGUUAACAUAAGUUAUCACUAUGAAUACCUGGUCACAUUUACAAGAUUGACAUUACUCAAAUAAAAUAAUUAAUAUAAUCAUAUUAAUAAUUUAUAAUUCAAUUGUAACCUCCUUUGUGUGUAGUUUUCAGUUGAGUAAUAAAAAAAAUUUAUACUAUACUUAUUUGAAAUACCAUUAGUCGAUCCUCUAACCUUGAUAAUUGUUUUAUUCUUGUUAAUCCUUACAUCAAUAUCACAUCUCACAAGUUCUCUUCAACUCCUUUUCAUUUAUUGUUUAUAAUUUUAUAUAGUUCACCUCCCUGUGCUUUGACCCUGGUCUUGUCGGGUUAUUUAUUACUUCGACACUCCUGUACUUGGGAUAAGACAUCAAUUUUUUGAUUCUAUCACCUUACCUCAACUAGAAAACAAAAUAAAAAUCUAAAAUUACAAAGGAAAGAGCAUGAAAUCCAUAAACAAAGGAAAUCACAAAAAUUUCCAAAACCAUGGGUUUGGGGCAAGAAUUUCAAAAUUUAAAGAUUCGAUGUUUGAAGUAGCUAUUCCAAUGCUACAUUAAGGAAAACAACUUUCAGAUACUCCUAUAAAAAUUUAAUUAUGAACCAACAAUCGAAUAAAAAAUUAUGGUCCUUUUGAGCUGUAAUUCUGGUCCGGCGCAACUACACCUCCUCUUGGAUCUAAACUUGUCUCACUGGUCCAUAAAUGUAUCUCCUAGGCCAUUCACGUAAUCUAUCUAGAGCAAAUACUCAUGUAGUUAUGGCAAACUCACAAUUAACUGUUAAGAAUCACUCGUUAUCGCAAAUUGAACUUCAUUACAUAAGGUAAGUCCGAUGUCGUUUUUUCUUCAAAUAUCAUAACUAAUCGUUUACUUGAAUCUUUGAAACUAGUAUAUAUUUUAAAAUUCUUAGUUUUUUUUAAUUACUAGGUUGUAAUUCAAUUUUUCACAUCUUUUCUCUUUAAUUUCUAAAGAAAUUGAUCAAACUUUAUAAAAAAAUUUUGAUAUUUACAUAGCCCGUUUCUCUUUCCUUUUCUACCAAAGUGGAAGACAGCUAUUGCUAAACUAGAAAAGUAAGCAACCAGAAGAAAGGAACCAAUCAUGGUGGGACAAUGGACAAUGACGAAACCAAGUCGGAGCGAUAAGGUUUUGGAAGCAAAUCAACAGCUGCAAAUCGCGAAUGAAAUCAGAGCUCAGCUCCACUCAACGGUCCCAUAACGACCCGCUAAGCACUGCAGAAGUGAAUCAACAACCACAACUCCGUCUAACAUAGAACGAAACAAUAAUCCCGAGCUCGACAAGUUUCAAUCCCUCAAUCUCAAUCUCAAUCUCAAUUGUCAAGUGGGCAAAUAGUCUUUUGCCUCAGAAGUAACCCUGCAACAAACGACUGGCUUCCCAGCACUGAAGACAACCGGGUAUUUUAGCAUGAUUAUUGAGCAUGUCAAUAUAUUUAGCUAGCUAGGUUGGAUUUUUUCUUUUCAAAUUUUAUGUGUUGGUGGAAUAUGCUCUAUUUUUUUUUUUUGGUGUUUGUUUCAUCCGAGCUAAAUCGGAGUGAGAGCUAAUAGAUAUGCAGUGAAGAGAGAGAAAGAGAGAGGAGAACAGGAACAACUCUGGACGGUUUCUGACAUUCUUGUUUAUAAAAUAUUGGAUGGUAAUGUCGUUAAAUAUUUUUUUAAAUGUUUUUUUAAUUGAUAUUUUUAAAAAAUAUAUAUAGUUUUUAAUAUGAUAAUAUCAAAAAUUAAAAAAAUUAAAAAUUAAUUUAAUACAUUUUAAAUUAAAAAACAUUCUUCACGUUACAAAACACAUUAGACGACAACACGAGAGCUACUUCAUUGGAAUUAUUCUACCACUAUCUAAACUUUUAUUGGUGCUGUCCCUUUUAAUGUACUAAUAGCAGGGGAACCACAAAUUCCAGCAUUAUUAAAUUUCAGCUUUUCCCAUAUUCAAAUGCCAUGGGUGCUUGAAGUAGAAGAUGUUGGACAAAACAAAUCAUAUAUUUAUAUAUCAGAAACGUAUUGUGUAGUUCAGAAUCUGCUUUCUGUGGUUCAAUUUUUUCUAAUCACAUAAUAGUAGUUCUCAUAUGAUCUCAUAUCUAAUUGAUUUUUAGUGAAGAACUAGACAUGUACCUAGUAUGUUGGGUUCGAGCUAUUUUUUUCAUAAAAUAUUUAGGUGUUACAAGCUUGUUUUAAAGAAAUAAGAAAAAUCCAAUGAUCAGAGUUAUAUAUAAUCUCAACUAACUAAAUAAACUGGUUUUAUUUUAAAUAUAAAAAAACAACAAUAGCAAAAGGAUAAAAGAUUAAAAAAAAAAACAAUCGCGAUAACCUAGAAAAAAAAACUUUUAUUCAAUAGUAAAAAAACAAUAUUGUUUAAUUUUCUGCAAAUCAAAUAUAAAAAGAAAAAAUAAGGUAAAAGAGGGAUAAAAAAAAACUGAUGUGAGUCAACCCAAACUAACAUGAUAGAUAUGUAAUUUGGGCAUUAAGAAGCAAAUCAAUCCAGGUUAACCAUCUGAACUCAUGUACAAGGUCAUGAAGUUUGGAUAAAUCGAUAGAAAACAAUUUCGAAGAAAACCACAGUUAUUUUUUAUGUAAAAAAACCUAAUGUCAAAACGAUGAAAUUAUAAAAGAAAGUAAGCUAAAAAUAUCAACCCUAUUAACUUUUCAAACCCAUGACUUGAAUCAUCAAACCAGAAACACCAUAUAUCGAAAAAAGAAAAAACCACGAAGCCUAAUCCUCAAAAAUUAAAAUGUUGAAAGAUAAAAUUGAAAAAAAAAAUCACACAAAAGAUUAAAAAUAAAAAAUAACAAUUAAAAAAACAAGGUUAAAAUUGAAAUAAAAAAUAAAUUAGAGGGCAACAACAAAUCUUCAAUUUGGAGGUAAAAUUAAAAAAAAACUUUAACAAAAAAAAAAUUAAAAAAAGGAUCAAAUUGUAAAAAAUAAUAUGCCAUACUUUUAGAUUGAAUGAUGAAAUUGAAAACCAAUAAAAGUUCUAUAAGGAUCAAAUUGAAAAAAAAAUUAUAUGAUAAAUUGAGAUUGAUGGAUGAAAUUGAAAACAAAUUAGACUUUUAUAUAAGGGCCAAGAAAAAAAAACUAAAAAUAAAAAAAAUAAGGACUAAAGAUGAAAUAGUUGAAAAAAGAGGACCAACUUGUAAUUUUUUUUGGGAGGAGAGAGAAAAAAAAAUCUUAUCAGCGAUAAACCACUCCAUAUAUGCCAACAUGCGUCGUAUCAUAAGAAAGAGGACAUGAUAGAGCAUCUAUUGACAUUAGGAAAGAGCAACUUCAGUCGCUAAAAGGGGUCGUACACGCUGUUCAGAGUGUGUGAGCAUCUCCCACGCAUUGACAAGUGCACCACUCGUACUAGUAGCUUUUAACAUAAUAAGUAAUAAUUUAUCAAACCAAAAAGAAAAAAGUACCCUCGAUGAUUUUAAAAUUAACAAAACAAUCUAUGUAAAAGACUUAAAGGCUCAUUUAUACAUAGCUUUAUUAUUUUAUUUUUAUUCUGGUGUACAGUUGUCAUUUUAAUGUUUUUUAAAAUAGAAAAACUAAAAUACCCUCUUAGUUAAUAUUAAAUUUUCUCACUUAGAGGACAAUUAGCUCAUUUUACUAUAUAUAGAAAACACUACAAGAAACUCGUUAAAUACCAACGGGAUCUCCGAUGAAAUAUUUUUGUCUGUAUUUUUCGGUCGAAAUUACCGACGGAAUAUUUCCAUUCGUAAUUCGGUCGGUAAUUCUUAGUUUUUUUUAAUUACUAGGUUGUAAUUCAAUUUUUCACAUCUUUUCUCUUUAAUUUCUAAAGAAAUUGAUCAAACUUUAUAAAAAAGAUUUGAUAUUUACAGAGCCCGUUUCUCUUUCCUUUUCUACCAAAGUGGAAGACAGCUAUUGCUAAACUAGAAAAGUAAGCAACCAGAAGAAAGGAACCAAUCAUGGUGGGACAAUGGACAAUGACUAAACCAAGUCGGAGCAAAUCAACAGCUGCAAAUCGCGAAUCAAAUCAGAGCUCAGCUCGACUCUAUGGUCCCAUAACGACCCGGUAAGCACUGCAAAAGUGAAUCUCAAUCUGAAUUGUCAAGUGGGCAAAUAGUCUUUUGCCUCAGAAGUAACCCUGCAACAAACGACUGGCCUCCCAGCACUGAAGACAACCGGGUAUUUUAGCAUGAUUAAUAUUAUUAAGCAUGUCAAUAUAUUUAGCUAGCUAGGUUGGAUUUUUUCUUCUCAAAUUUUAUGCUUUGGUGGAAUAUGCUCUAUUUUUUUUAGGUGUUUGUUUCAUCGAAGCCAAAUCGGAGUGAGAGCUAAUAGAUGUGCAGUGAAGAUUGAGAGAGAGAGGAAAACAGGGACAAUUCUGGAUGGUUUCUGACAUUCUUGUUUAUAAAAUAUUGGAUGGUAAUGUGGUUAAAUAUUUUUUUUAAUAUUUUUUUAAUUGAUAUUUUAAAAAAAAUUAUAGUUUUUAAUAUGAUAAUAUCAAAAAUUAAAAAAAUAAAACAUUAAUUUAAUAUAUUUUAAAUGAAAAACAUUCUUCACGUUACAAAACACAUUAGACAAAUUGACAACACGAGAGCUACUUCAUUGGAAUUAUUCUACAACUAUCUAAAUUUUUAUUGGUGCUGUCCCUUAAUAGCAGGGGAACCACAAAUUCCAGCAUUAUUAAAUUUCAGCUUUUCCCAUAUUCAAAUGCCAUGGGUGCUUGAAGUAGAAAAUGUUGGACAAAACAAAUUAUAUAUUUAUAUAUAAGAAACGUAUUGUGUAGUUCAGAAUCUGCUUUCUGUGGUUCAAAUUUUUCUAAUCACAUAAUAGUAGUUCUCAUAUGAUCUCGUGAUUUAUUAUAUCUAAUUGAUUUUUAGUGAAGAACUAGACAUGUACCUUCUUUUUUUUUCUUUUUUUUUAUAUGUACCUUAGUAUGUUGGGUUCGCGCUAUUUUUUUCAUAAAAUAUUUAGGUGACACAAGCUUGUUUUAAAAAAAUAAAAAAAAUUCAAUGACUAGAGUUAUAGUCUCAACUAACUAAAUAAACUGAUUUUAUUUUAAAUAAAAAAAACAACAAUAGCAAAGAAAUAAAAUAAAAUAAAAAACAAUCACGAUAAUCUAGAAAAUAAAACUUUUAUUCAAUAGCAUAAAAACAAAAUAAAAAAUAAAUUAGAGGGCAACAAUAAAUCUUCAAUUUGGAGGUUAAAUUAUAUAUAUAUAUAUAAAAACUUUAACAAAAUGAAAAAAAAAUUAAAAAAAAGGAUCAAAUUGUAAAAAUAAUAUGCCAUAAUUUUAGAUUGAAUAAUGAAAUUGAAAACCAAUAAAAGUUCUAUAAGUAUCAAAUUGAAAAAAAUAUGAUAAAUUGGGAUUGAAGGAUGAAAUUGAAAAUGAAUUAGACUUUUAUACAAGGGCUAAGAAAAAAAACUAGAAAUCAAAAGAAUAAGGACUAAAGAUGAAAUAGUAAAAAAAAGAACCAUUUUGUAAUUUUUUAGGGAGGAGAGAGAAACCAAACUCUUAUUGGCGACAAACCACUCCAUCUAUACCAACAUGCGUCGUAUCAUAAGAAAAAGGACACGAUAUUAACAUUACUAAAGAGCAACUUCAGCCACUAGAAAGGGUCAUACACGCCGUUCAAAGUGUGUGGGCAUCUCUAACGCAUUAACGAGUGCACCACUCGUGCUAGUAGCUUUUAAUAUUAAAAAAAUAAUUUAUCAAAUCAAAAGGGAAAAAAGCGCCUUCGAUGAUCCUAAAAUUAACAAAAAAAUCUAUGUGAAAGACUAAAAGGCUCAUUUAUACAUAGCUUUUUUUUCCCGGUGUAAAGUUGUUGUUUUAAUGUUUUUUGAAAUAUAAAAACUAAAAUACCCUCUUAGUUAGUUUUAAAUUUUGUCACUUGGAGGACAAUUAGCUCAUUUUACUAUAUCUAGAAAAUUUCAAGAGAUGGAUAUACCCAUGUAAAAAUUUUUAAUGACUAAUGUGUCAUGUAAAAAGAUUAAAAUACCCUCAAGAAUAUACAUAACUGAAAAUGCAUUAAAAUAUAUUUUGGAGAUUAAAAAAAAAUCCUAGAACAAAAAUGAAAAAAGAUUGAAAAGAAUUGAAUUUUGAGCCAGACCAAGACCUCUGGCGAGUGGACAUAACACGCCUAGGUCAGGGAGCUGGGGCUUUAUGUUUCUAACUUUAACUUUUUUAUUGAAAAAAAAAACUCAUAAAACAAAACAAAACAAAUAAAAAUAAAUAAAGAUAGAUAGAUGCUUAAUUCUGGAUAAACAACACAAUGUAUAUUCCAACAAAUCCAACGAUAGCUAGUAGUUUAUGAAACUUCUAGAAAUGUAAAUGCGCUGCAGUUUAUCAGUCUCAAUUGUACAAAAAAUACUCAUAACAAAAUUAGCUGAGGCAAUCUGUCUCCCACAUGCUGAAGUAACUGUUUUAUAAUGUGGUUAUGAUUAUUUUUUAAAAUAUUAUUUUAUUUAAAAAUAUAUUAAUUUUUUUAAAAUUAUUUUUAAUAUUAACACAUCAAAAUGAUAUGAAAACACUAAAAAAAAUAUUAAUUUACAGCAAUUUUUUUUUUCCAAAAUUCAAAAACGUUUUAAACAUAAAAACAAAUAGAAACUCAAUCUUGAUAUCUUUGUGUGUCUGUGUGUGUGUAAAUCACAACUAAGAUGCAAUCCACUACUUUAUAUUACUUGAUUAUAAAAAUCUAAUGAUAAAAAGGUUUUGCCAUUAUGUUGAUAUUUUGUGCGUGUGUGUAAUUUUUGUGUGUGUGUUUGUAAUUUUUUUUCUAGGUGCAAAUUUAUUUUAGGGUUUUGUGCAAUAUCUUGUAUGGAUAUAAUAUAAUAAUGUGGGCAAGGUCAACAUGACCUUUCAUAGAUCCAUCAAAUGUAAGUGGAGGCCUAUGAAUAUAUUUUGAAUGUAUUAAAAAUUUUAUCAGUGUUUCUGUUUGUAUUUAUCAAUUUUUUUGUAUGUCAAAUUAAAUCAAAGUUUAAUGGAUAAAAUAAAAAAAAUAUUCAAAAAAAUAUAACAAUUAAAUAUUGAAAAUCAAAAUUGAUAUAAUUAACAAAUAACAAGAUAUUUUUUUUUUCACAACUCUUUAAAAAGUGUUUUGUGCUCAAAAUAUAUAAAAGAAAAACACUUUCAUGGAAAUCAAGUAAAAUAAAAAUUUGUACUCCGAAAUAUUUUUCAUUAACCAAUUUUUUCAAUAAUAAACAAAUAUAGAAAAAUUUAGAAAGUAGUUUUCAAAAAAUUAUUUUCUAUAAAACAAACGAGUCAUGCAAUAUCUAUUUUUUAAGAAUUAUUUUAAAUAAAUUUUACUAAAAAUAUUUCUAAUGUAAAGUCACUUUAAUUUAUUUUUGUCGGAUAUGAUUUAUAAAUAAUAACAUAAAUCACAUGAAACGCUUGAAGAUAUAAUUAACUCUUAAUUAUAAAUUUUUUACUCAUUAAAAAAAUCAUAAACAUGUUUAUUAACAAUAAUAAUUUUUUACAUAAAUAAAUAACUUGUUAUAAAUUGAGUAAAAGUUUUCACUAAUAAAUUCUUCUUGAAAUAAUGUUUUAAAAAUUGAUUUGAAUAUUUUAACCAAAUAUAUUUCUAAGUUAAAGUCAUGUCAACUUACUUUUAUCAUAAUAAGUUAUUAUGAACAAUAUUUUUGAAUGAUAAAUUAAAGUAACAAAUCACAUUAAUUAAUUAGCAAUAUCAAAUAGUCUCUAAUUGAUUAAAGCUCUAGUUUUUGUUUUGUUUUUUGUUUUUUUUUUCCUUUAUCUGGCGACUGAGCCUAAUUAUGAUCAAACUUAGCUUCGAAGUCCACCUUAAUUAAAUUGAGAAAUUAUUUUAAUUAAAAAAUACCCUCACAAAAACACCCCACUUGCGAGAAACCCACUUAAAUUUCAAUAACUGUAUUGUAUACAGUCAAGAUGUUUUUCUUGAUUUUGCUACACCAACUCUCAAAGGUUGGAAUUGGAUAUAGUAGUACAUCAUUUGAAAUUGGAAUUUUCUAGAAUUAUAAAAUACAGAAAGUAUAUAUAUUAAGGAGCACGAAUUAAUAACACAAUAAUUAUUGUCCUUGCACUGUUAUUUAUUUCCUCAAUGGAAUCACUAAAAUAAGACGAUGAAAAGGGUUUGCAUUCUUUCUACCUCGAAGGGCGACAGCUUAAGCGAGGAGGUUGUGGUGUUUGGGCGAGCUUUACACACGAGAUGCAAUGGGUAAUCUUCACAUGAGUGUUGCAGCCGUUUCUGUCAUUCGACUUCCUCUCCAUCAACAGUGGAGAACUCAAAACAUUGAAGGCAAUUGGGCUCAUAACCAUUUAUCACUCUGAAUGCCAUGGCUUCUCCAGGACAACCUCUCCUUCCCAACCCAAAUGGCAGUAGCCUGUAUGGUUCACCUUUCCCAUUUUCAAAUCUUUCAGGCUUAAAACUUAAAGGAUCAUCCCACACGUCUGGAUUUCUGUGAAUGGACCAUGCGUUUACAAGUACCAUGGCACCUGAUGGAAUAUCAUAGCCUCCGAGAGUGCAGCGCUCGGAUGCCACAUGUGGAACCAAGAGUGGAGCCGGUGGGCACAGUCUCAGGUUCUCAUGGAUGAUACAUUGAAUGUAAUGCAGAUUAGCGAAAUCUGGUUCAUCUGCCAAACGGCCAUGUCCAACUUGGGUGUCCACUUCGUCUACUGCUUUCUUUAAUGCACGUGGAUUAUUCAGCAGGUUGGAAAAUGCCCAUUCUAAAGACAGAGCAGAGGUUUUUGUCCCUGCAACCAACAUCAUCUGCAGAAAAUUGUGGAUAACCAACCAUGCAUCAGAAGAUUUGAAUCCAUAGGAAUACAUAUUUCUGAAGAACCAUGGGUCAAGGAAGGAGACCAUGAAUAUCAUCUUCAGAUAUGUAUUUUUAUUAUAUUUAAUUACGUAUUUAUCCCAAAUAAAAUAAAAUAAAAUAAAAAAGAACGGAAUUUAGGGCAGCAGAAUGAGAUUAGAGACUAACCAGAAUAAUGCCUUUGAUGAUUUCGUCGGUAUAGUAUUCAGGUUCCGAUUCCUGCAAAGCGAGCAGGUGGCUUACCAUGGUAUUCCUACUCUUAACAACUCUAUGCUCAUCAAUAAGUCCUUACCAGAAAGCGUCCAUCCUCUUGCCUAGCUGAGUCAUCCUGUUCUUAAAUCCAUCAUAAUCAACGCACUGCAAAAUGGGAAACAAAUCCCCCAGAUUUGUCACCCUAGUACAUUCAGAAAACUCGUGCAUCAUGUCCUUAAACCUCUUUGACUCUUCAAGCCCAUCAACUCUUCGCCAUAAUACUUCUUCCCUGCAACCAUUCUCAUCAUUACAUUAAAGUUAAGGUCCAGCAACAUUGUCCUCAGCUCUAUCACGGCCGAACCAUCACCACAAAUUUUGUGAAUUUUACGAAGUAAAUUCUUCACUUCUUCUCUUCGGAUGCUUGCGAACGUGUUGAGGCGGCUUGCUGAGAAGACUU